AGGAGGGGGGGGAAGGGACAGAGAGAGAGAGAGAGAGACAAUCUUAAGCCCCUGGGAUAUAUUUUCAAAUAUAGGCCAUCUUAGAGACCUAUCCAGAAGGUAAUAAUACUUAGUUCAACUGUCAGUCAUCGAUUGGAACCAUACAGGAAAGAUAUUUAGGGAAAGGUAUGUAGAUUAGCAUUAAUCAAAAAUUUAAAAAAUACCCUAAAAUUGUAUUUGAAUAGAUAAACCAUUUAUAUGAUACAAAAUUUAAGAAGGUUCAGGGGCGCCUGGGUGGCUCAGUUAAGCGUCCAACUCUUGAUUUCAAGUCAUGAUCUCACGGUUUGUGAGAUGGAGCCCUGCAUGGGCUCUGCACUGCUUGGGAUUCUCUCCCUCUCUGUACCCCUCGCCCACUCUCAUGCCUGUGUGCGCUCUCUCUUUCUCUCUCAAAAUAAACUUUAAAAGUGUUUAAAAUUAAGGAUGUUCAAACAUAUACAGGGAACAUUCUCGCUUCCAACUGUAACCCCUAGUUAUCCAUUUUCCUUUCCCAGAGGCAACUAAUACUACAAACUUAUGAUGUAUUCUUACAGAUAUUUGAUGUGGAUAUGGACACAAACAUACAUAUGUACAUACAAGUUUAUAGCAUAUAUUUCCUCUGUUCUACACAGAUGGGAGCAUACUCCUACAUUAAGGAAUCUUCUUAUAAUUUAAAAAGUACACAGCCAAUUUCCAGAGUUUUGUGUUCACUAAAAAUUAUGACAUCAAGAGGAUAUAACAGUAUAGUGCUGUGCUUUACCAUAUGGUAGCCCCUUGUGACAUGGGGCUAUUUACACGUAAGUUUAUUAAAUUGAAAAUUCAGUUCCUCAGUUGCAUUAGCCACCUUUUCGUGUGCUCAGUAGCUAACGUGUGGCUAGUGGCUAUCAUGUAAUACAGUGUAGAUAUAAAACAUUUCCAUUUCACAGUUCUUUUUGGACAGUGCCAACAUGAUAAAGUAAUUCUAAUUUCUUUAAUAUUUUAAAGUAUCUUUGUAGAGUACAACAAAAUAAGAUCUUCCUCAACUUGUGAUGAUUUAUGUCCCAAUAAACCCAUUGUGAGUUGAAAAUACCUAAGUUGAAAACACAUGUACUAUACCUAACCUACCGAACAUCACAGCUUAGCCUAAUCUACCUCUAACAUGCUCAGAACACUUACGUUAUCCUACGGUUGGGCAAAAUCAUUUAAUACAAAGACAAUUUAUAACCAGUGUUGAAUGUCCCAUGUAUGUUAUCGACUGCCGUACUGAGAGUGAAAAACAGAAUGGUUUUAUCAGGUACAGAGUGGUUUAAGUAUAUUCGUUUACUUUUGUGUUUGCAUCUAAUAGGAGCUGCUGCUCACUGCUACUGCCUAAGCAGUACAAGAGUGUUGCCUACCACAGAUCGCUAGCUUGGAGAAAAUACCAAAAUUCAAAUUUUGAAGUAUGGUUUCUACUGAAUGUGUAUUUGUUUUGCACCAUCGUAAAGUCCAAACAUUAACCCUUUUCUCGAAUGCUAGUGCGGAUGGUCUCCAGCCUUCAAUGUUGAGUGAAUUCUACUUGGCUACAUUUCUGCUGGAUCUGGAGAAUCAUAAUAGGUAAGAGUCUCAUGCCUGUUUUGAAAUUGUAUGUGUCGUGUCUCUGGUGGUUCAGUAUAUUUAACUUGCUUCCUCGUGAGUGUAGCUUCAAGGUAUCGUUUCUUGCUGGAGUUCUGAGUUGUGAUUUAUCUGCUCUCGGUCGAAAUAUUAAAUAAAUCUGAGAAACCUCUGAAACCCA